GAGUGGACUCCUACGGGAGGCAGCAGUGGGGAAUAUUGCACAAUGGGCGCAAGCCUGAUGCAGCGACGCCGCGUGAGGGAUGACGGCCUUCGGGUUGUAAACCUCUGUUAGCAUCGAAGAAGCGAAAGUGACGGUAGGUGCAGAGAAAGCGCCGGCUAACUACGUGCCAGCAGCCGCGGUAAUACGUAGGGCGCGAGCGUUGUCCGGAAUUAUUGGGCGUAAAGAGCUUGUAGGCGGUUGGUCGCGUCUGCUGUGAAAGGCCGGGGCUUAACUCCGGUUUUGCAGUGGGUACGGGCUAACUAGAGUGCAGUAGGGGAGACUGGAAUUCCUGGUGUAGCGGUGGAAUGCACAGAUAUCAGGAGGAACACCGAUGGCGAAGGCAGGUCUCUGGGCUGUAACUGACGCUGAGAAGCGAAAGCAUGGGGAGCGAACAGGAUUAGAUACCCUUGUAGUCCUGAGU
rnacentral:rRNA from 1 species